rnacentral:rRNA from 1 species
GAUGAACGCUGGCGGCGUGCUUAACACAUGCAAGUCGAACGAUGAAGCUCAGCUUGCUGGGUGGAUUAGUGGCGAACGGGUGAGUAACACGUGAGUAACCUGCCCUUAACUCUGGGAUAAGCCUGGGAAACUAGGUCUAAUACCGGAUAGGAGCGCCUACCGCAUGGUGGGUGUUGGAAAGAUUUAUCGGUUUUGGAUGGACUCGCGGCCUAUCAGCUUGUUGGUGAGGUAAUGGCUCACCAAGGCGACGACGGGUAGCCGGCCUGAGAGGGUGACCGGCCACACUGGGACUGAGACACGGCCCAGACUCCUACGGGAGGCAGCAGUGGGGAAUAUUGCACAAUGGGCGAAAGCCUGAUGCAGCGACGCCGCGUGAGGGAUGACGGCCUUCGGGUUGUAAACCUCUUUCAGUAGGGAAGAAGCGAAAGUGACGGUACCUGCAGAAGAAGCACCGGCGAACUACGG